CGUCGGCUGAAGCUCCUGCCGGUUAUAUAACAACGCACGCACCGGCUGUAGCUGCUUUCUCUGAGACGCUCGGACGCCCCCAGGAUGCUCUAGAAGAACCCCCUUCCCGGCCACCGGCUCCUCAACUAGUAGUUUCUUCCAUUGUAUCAGAGACCCUUUCCCAAGAAGAUACACACCUGGGCAGGGACCAUCCUUUUAGGAUCCAUUGCGUGAAUGACAGAGGAAGUGCCCUCCAGUGCACUUAGUGAGGUCAACCUACGUCUUCUUUGCCACGAUGACAUAGACACAGUGAAGCAGCUCUGUGGUGACUGGUUCCCAAUUGAGUACCCUGACUCAUGGUAUCGUGACAUCACUUCCAAUAAGAAAUUUUUUUCUCUUGCUGCAACUUACAGAGGAGCCAUUGUGGGUAUGAUAGUUGCUGAAAUAAAAAGUAGGACAAAGGUACAUAAAGAGGAUGGAGAUAUUCUAGCCUCAAACUUCUCUGUUGAUACACAAGUCGCAUACAUCUUAAGUCUAGGAGUGGUAAAAGAGUUCAGAAAGCAUGGAAUAGGUUCCCUUUUACUUGAAAGCCUAAAGGAUCACAUAUCUACGACGGCUCAAGACCACUGCAAAGCCAUCUACCUGCAUGUCCUCACCACUAACAAUACAGCAAUAAACUUCUAUGAAAACAGAGACUUUAAGCAACACCACUAUCUACCCUAUUAUUACUCCAUAAGAGGAGUCCUCAAAGAUGGCUUCACCUAUGUACUCUACAUCAAUGGGGGGCAUCCUCCUUGGACAAUUUUUGACUACCUUCAGCACAUUGGGUCUGCAUUAGCAAACCUGAGCCCAUGUUCAAUUCCACAGCGGAUUUAUCGCCAGGCCCAGAGUCUUCUUUGCAGCCUUCUGCCGUGGUCAAGCAUUUCAGCCAAGAGUGGCAUCGAGUACAGCAGAGCCAUGUGAUUGGUCAGAAGGCCCUCCCCAGAAGCCACCAAGAGGUGCCUGAGUAUCCAGUUAUCUUCACCUGAGAGCCUCGCCUCUACACCACAAUAAACCAGUCCAGUAGGACUGGCUCACAAGGUGGAGGUGCCACCUGCUAGGCUGCCAACCCAAGCUGCUGCUCAGUGAGCCUUGGGGAGCCCAGGGUCAGCAGACCAGGGGAUGACGAUGGAGAGGCACAUGGAGAGCUUCUGCUCCCAAAGCCAUUUAUUUCUGCACUGAUGCUGCUAACCCUGGCUUCCAUGAACUCUCCCCAUCUGUUCUAGCAAGUCUGCCCUCUGUGGACCAGAUGGAGAUUUGGCCUGACUUAUUGUGGUGUCCCCUUCUCCCCUCUCCUGGGAAUAGGAGGAUGUGAGUGGAUUUUCUCCCUCCCUACCCAGCUUCUUUGCCGGGAACCGCAGAACCUGACAGCUGAAGAGGAGCGCUCCACCCCACCUGUACCCCCCCCCCCCCCUUCACUCCCCCACUGGCGGGCAUGAGCUGCCCACAUGACCUCGGCUCCUUCCUGCUGAAUCAACAAGGCUGGCCUUGAGGAGAGUGUGGCUUCAGAGCAAUAGAGCAAGUGAUUGCGGGAGGUCAGAGACCCUCCCACGGCAGAAUAUAGGCCAGGCCAGCUCAGAGCUGAGGCUCAGCCCAGGAAGGUAGCGCAGAAGCUACUCCUGCCUCGCCUGUCAGGACCAUGAAGAUAUCUAGGCACAGAGCCUUUGCCGUCGUCCCCCAGAACAAAUCACCGUGUCCGAUGGUCCGACUUCUCCAGCACAGUGGACUCUUGAUGACCUUGAGUAGGGUGGCUUGAUAGCUAGGGCUCAUUCCUCCCUGGUUCCCACCUUAAGGACGUACUCUCUGUUCCCGUCUGCCUUGGACUUUGCACUGAAGAGAGAGAUCACAAUUCCUAUUUCAUAGUGAAAUACAUUGUCUGCCUCCGCUGAACUGGUCCUCAGGUGGGAAGGAUGAGAGCUCUGCAGUACUCCCGAGACCAGGCCUAGGAUUUCCCAUCUAGAGCAUCACCUUACCUGAACCUCCUCAGCCAUUACUCCAACCAGAGCCAACACGAAUCCUCUUUGUACAGGAAGUUAUGAACAUGGGUCCCAACCUCUGGUUCCUCUGGUGUAGUCCCUGUCAGAGGCUCUGAUCCGAGAGGCUCAGAGCCACGUGCCUUGUAGCUUUCAGCCCCUAUGGAGAGGAUUUUUUUCUUCUUCUGGAUUCACUGAGGGGAGGACACCAUGGCAGUCACUCAGCUGUUUCAGUUCUGUGAAAUGUACUCGCAGCAUGAGAUCUGUCAUUACCAUUACAUUCAGUUGUCUCCGACGCCCCAGGAGCCCCUAUGUUUUCUAGGUACAGUUUAGUUCCAGCUUGCAGGAGUACCCACUGUCCGGUGUUACAAGCAGCCAUUCUUCCACAUCUCUAAACCUGAGUUGGGGAGGGGAGAAAAACACAAACCUCAUCCUUCCCUGCCCCAUAUAAAUCAAAUUCUCCUUUCAAAAUUCUGUUUCCCUUUUAGACUCUUAUAGCUCUCAGGACCUUACCAUCACCCUAGGGUAAGCAGUUACCAUCUUCUCAUCCUAACAAUGGGCCUGCCCGCCCUGGUGGUGACCUCCUGCGGAGGCACAACGGUUAUUGAAACCUUGAAAUUAAGGGGGAUCCCUUGGGCAGGACAACCAUUCACCAUUUUGUGUGUCCAUCACUCAAUGGAGGUUUGUGUUCCUCCUCCCUCUUGUCCUGAGGGUGGGCAGACACUUUAAAGUACUUGAUUUUAAGAGAAAUUAGGGGCACUGGUGACACCAGUGGCACAAGUGAGGUUAGUUUCUACUAAAUCGGUUUUGGUAGUUUGGAUGCUGGCCAGUGCUGAGACCCCAUAUUUAAUGAUAAAAUAAAGAUGUUCAUCUGAUUUUGUUUUCUGUGCUGAGGGGUGGGGAGAAGUCUUCCAGAUCUGAAACCUUUUGACAUCUAGUAUUCAAGCUAAGUUGCCAUGGCCCCUCAGCAUUCCCUUUCUCCCAUAAUCACUGUAGUGUCCAACUUGGUGUUGAAUGGAUUGUAGUGUUUUGUCUUAUUAGGAAAAAACAACAGAAUAAAACCUUAAUCAAAUUUAA